UUAAUAAUGUAAACAAAGUUCAAAGCAAUUAAGGUAUUUUGUUUCAUUUCUUUAAAGUGUUUUAUGCACCGUCUGUACUUAGCCACUAUUUAGCUUAAUAGACCGACUACGAACAAACCAUGUUUAGCCCAGAAUAACCUUGAAUUUAAUAAAAUUUUGUUUUUGUCAAAAUAACUUGCAAGAUUUAUGAUAUUUCAUCAGGCAUGCAAAGACACCAAUGAAUUUAAGAUGUUUGGUUUUAUCUGAAUAUCUGCAGUCACGCAUAACAUACAUUAUUUGACCGUAUUUCAAAGAUAAACAAAAUCCAGUUACAACUCCGAACCGCUAGAUGGCAGCAGUACACAAACACGAGGCCAAAUCGCGCGAGAAAGAUUUCCGCUGUUUGAAAAUCAACAACAUCAGCGAGCAGCCAGGAGGAAAGCAAUCUACCACACUCGUUUGGUCUUGUAAGUGGUUUUUUAUUAUUUUAUUGUACAUGUGUUUAAAAUUGAUUUACUUUAUUUGUUGUUGGAAUCGCGACAUUCUUGCGGGUAACUUAACAGUAUAACGUAGUAAGUAACCCAUGUUUUAUAAAACCUAAACAGUACAACCUGCAAUGUAAUAAAAUAGUGGAGGUAAUUGAGUCUAUGUAACGUUACACUGAAGAUCAACAUGAGUGAUUUGUAGGCUGCUUUUUAGUAACAGCAGUAACUUAGCAAAGUUAUUACUGUGUUGCUUACAGUAAUGUAGUUAGUUUACAAUUAUGCAUGCAGAGAUAGAUUGUGGGGGAAAGCUAUUUUUCCAUAUGGAUUUAACUUACAGGCCUUCAGUUUGUUGGAAAAAAGAGUUUUAUUGUGUUAGUGAGGGAAAACUUGCAGGUCAAUGGGCAUUAACCUUUAAGGUUGGUAAACACUUGUACACUGAAGCAUACAAUACUGUACAAUUACUGACAUAGGCAUGUGCUAUUCAGGUGUAUGGAGGGAGAAACUUGAGAGACCGUGCCGGAAGAAUGCUGGACAGAGUUCACUAAAAUUCAUUAAUUUCAAAGUUCAACAUGAAUGGUGGUGGUCCACUGCACAAGCAAGCAUUUGAAAAAACAUCAGUUCUCAGUUAUUAAAGAGCGUGAACAGGUUGUGAAGUGGCAUGCAAAACACGUUCACAGAAGAGGGGCAAAAAUUUUAUGCGUCCAAUUAUGGGCCGGAAUGAGAUUCUGGCAGUAUGAUAACCAUGCUGUGUUGAACAACUUCCCAGCAGCAACAGAACUGGAAGUGAAGGAUGCAAUGGGGGCAUUUCAAACAGUCACCAGGGAGCACGGGGGGUAUAGAAAUUAGUACAAUUAAUAAGUUGAAGUGAACUGAAGAUAGUUUGUUAAUGUUUAGAUGUUAUUUCAUUUUUAAAAUUGUAUUUUGUUAUUUAUGCUUUUAUUUUGUUACUGUUUUUAUUCUUUUUGUUAAAAGUAGUUUUUCUUCAUUUUGUCUUAUCUGAAUUUCUAUUGUAUUAACAAUAUUUUUGUAAUAAAUUGCAUGAUUGCAUGUUUAUGAGAACCUUUUUUAAUGGAUUAAAAAUAAUUCUUUAGCCAUUCUUUUGUUGUUUAUUAGACACACAAGUGUAGUCGUUUAAUAGCCGUCUAUUUAACGGCUAGUCUAUUCUUGGGCUAUGAUAGACGUCUACUAGAUUUUCACUGACAGCCCAAAUUUAGCCUUGUUUUAGCCUAGACCCACAUUCACCGUCUAUUAGACGAAUAUAUGUAGACGUUUAAUAGCCGUCUAUUUGAUGACUAGUCUAUUCUUGGGCUAUGAUAGAAUAUAUGUAGACGUUUAAUAGCCGUCUAUUUGAUGACUAGUCUAUUCUUGGGCUAUGAUAGACGUCUACUAGAUUUUCACUGACAGCCCAAAAUUAGCCUUGUUUUAGCCUAGACGUCGGGGGGUGUUUAGACGGCUACUAGACGUCUAUUAGCCGCAAAAUUGCUUGCUGGGUUUACUGUAUGUAUGUUACUGCUGAAACCGUCUAUAAGCGUUAGCUUUUGCUCUUGUUUAUGAACGUUUGGGCUUUUGAAAACAUAGAUGAGAGGUUUCAAAGUCUUUGUUAACGUUGUCAGUGCAUGACUGGAAGUAGGCAAAUUUAUUUAGUCUAAAUAUGCGAUGUACUGUAACGUCUAAACCUUGUUAAAUUGCACGGAGUGCUGAAGCUACUAACGUUAGUACGUAUGUUUUAUCGUAUACAAAUACAGACAUGUUGUUCUCUGAUUUCAGGAGUGACAAAAACCCUCUAUAAUAGAAGAGAAGCUCAAGAUUUCAACAUUUUCUGAAGGGAGUUGCAGACAGGUGUAGAAAACUGCUUUUCAAAUUUUCCACAUUUAUCACAGUUAUUUUAAGAUGUUGACAUCUAAACGUGAGUAGCAUUGUGUGAGCAAUAUUAAAUAAGUAAAUCUUACACUGCAUAUUUUAUAUAUUGUUUUCUCUGUGACAGAUUGAAUGUUAUGUUUGUAGAUUUGUCCAUGCUAAUGGCCGAGCAGUAGGGUUGGAACAGACCUGUCAGAAAACAUCUCUGAACCAUAUGACUAAUUUCAAAACAAUUUAUUCUUGAGAGGUGGCACCACAGUUAAAGACAGUGUUUUGAAGAAUUUUGAACUUCCUGCUCACAAACUACAUACUUCUCCAGUUAGUCUGACAGGCUAUCAAUGAGAAUGCGGCAUUACAGGACACCACUGAAAACUAUACCACUAAAAACUGAUUAUUGCUGCAGUCAGAAGAAACAGAUUAACAGCAACUAUCUGCUUGAGACCAAGAGAUUGAGCACUGGGUUAAGACAUGGUUGCAGCUUGCCACAGACAGAGAUGAAGGUCGUUGGGCAAAAGAGAAGAUUUAAAGGCAUAGCUCACCCAAAAAUGGAAACUCAUUUACUUACCAUCAAGAUGUUUCAAACUCUAUCAAAUGUAUUUGUUCAGUUACUGACUGUUAUAAAUUAUACAGGUUUGGAACAACCUUUGGGUGAGCAAAAUUACAGUUUUAAUUUUAAUUAGUGAACUAUCCCUAUUGUGAGUUUUAUAAGUUUAUUAAGAAAUGUUGAGUAUUAUAUCAGAGUUUUGUAUGUAAGGAGAUGGUAGUUGUACGUUUGUGUGUUAAUAUAGAUGGUUUCAGUGGCAACAACAUAAAUCACUUUCAUGGCCCAAACUUAACUUCGGGUAGACCUCCACAUAGAUUCAAUAACAACCGAGUAUCUCUGGAGCAGUUUUUUUUCUGAUAACAAACAAAAUAAAUAACCAGUAAAUAGCCUUAGAUCAAAUCAUAGCUAAAGCAUUUCAACCAUUACAUUGAUCUAAUGUUACUGGGUAAAAUUAAGCUUUACAAUUUUAGCUACAGAUCUUUGAAAAUGUUUGUACGGUAUACUGUCCAUUUCCAGAAAGGUAAUAAAAACAGCGUGCACAGUGACGCUGCUGACGUGUUAUCCUCAGACAUGUUUGUGAAGAUUGUUUUGUUUAUAGCGUGCGUCUCCCUCAGACUGUAAAAAAAGCUUGGGAACAAGAAAAAGCUUGGGCAAACAAGAUAACAUGUCAGCAGCGUCACUCCAGUGUUGUGCACGAGGUUCACAACAGACCUGGAAAAGAAGACGAUGCUGAAUAAAGUCAUAAUUUCUGUUAUUUUUGGACCAAAAUUUAUUUUCGAUGCUUCAACACAUUCUAACUGACCCACUGAUAUCACAUGGACUACUUUGAUGAUGUACAGUAUAUAUUUGAUCGUGUAUACACAUAUCUAAAACAUCUUAAACUGUUUCCGAAGAUGAACGGAGGUGUUACGGGUUUGGAAUGACAUGAGGGUCAUUAAUUACAUAAUUUUCAUUUUGGAUGAAAUAACCCUUUAAGUUUGGCCAGGUGUGUUACUGUGGCAACGCACAUGCAUCUAUGGGUUCCAGUAUAUCUUACUAUAUAACAUAUUAAUUUAACUAACAUGUUUGACAAAUAUAAUUAUGUUUAUUUAUAAAUUAUUAUCUGUAUUGGAUUUUUUAAAUGUUUAAUAAAGAAAUUUUGACUAUA